rnacentral:rRNA from 1 species
UACAGAGGGGGCAAGCGUUGUUCGGAAUUACUGGGCGUAAAGGGCGCGUAGGCGGCCUUCUAAGUCGAACGUGAAAUCCCCGGGCUCAACCCGGGAACUGCGUCCGAUACUGGAAGGCUUGAAUCCGGGAGAGGGAUGCGGGAAUUCCAGGUGUAGCGGUGAAAUGCGUAGAUAUCUGGAGGAACACCGGUGGCGAAGGCGGCAUCCUGGACCAACACUGACGCUGAGGAGCGAAAGCCAGGGGAGCAAAGCAGG